GCUGAAAUGCCACAGCUUCCUCAAGAUUUGAAAGGAGAAACUUUUUCUCAUGUAUUUGGGACCAACACAUCUAGCCUGGAACUGUUCUUGAUGAACAGAAAGAUCAAAGGACCUUGUUGGCUUGAAGUAAAAAGUCCACAGCUCUUGAAUCAGCCAAUCAGUUGGUGUAAAGUUGAGGCAAUGGCUUUGAAACCAGACCUGGUGAAUGUAAUUAAGGAUGUCAGUCCACCACCGCUUGUCGUGAUGGCUUUCAGCAUGAAGACAAUGCAGAAUGCAAAGAACCAUCAAAAUGAGAUUAUUGCUGUGGCAGCUUUGGUCCAUCACAGUUUUGCAUUGGAUAAAGCAGCCCCAAAGCCUCCCUUUCAGUCACACUUCUGUGUUGUGUCUAAACCAAAGGACUGUAUUUUUCCAUAUUCUUUCAAAGAAGUCAUUGAGGAAAAGGUAAAGUGCUCAUUAUAUGAAGCACCUGUUUGUUUGGAGAGAGAAAGAAAAGGGGGGUGGUAUGGACUAGUAGAAAAAAGGUGUUUUAUAUUUUAUUAGAUUCACUCCUGCCAGAUUGGACUAUGACAUCGACCCAUUAAAAUGUAUUAUACAGCUAGAAGCAUUAUUUAACAAUGUUUAAAUGUUUUACUACCUGAAAAUAAUGGGAUUCUGUACUGUAUUGGUGGUUGGAUAGGCUCAAACCCCCCUCCAAUAGCUUAAUUAGAAGCUUCUCUAAAAUGCAUGAUCAUAUGAUUACUGUUUUGGGAAGGUGUUGAGUAGAGUCCCUCCCCAGCUUGAGGGAAGCCAAAUGAAGUUGGGAAUACUGUGGAUGUUAAAGGGCCAUGUAUUGACAAAGUUGACAUGGGAUUGGCCAAAAUGGAUUAGUGAUCUCUAAAUUCCAGCAUGCUCCAUGAAGAAGUUUUCAUGGGUCCUUAAUAAAAUGGGGAGGAGUGGGAAGUAGUAUUAAUGUAGUGAAUUUUUCACAAAGGUAAA
rnacentral:sRNA from 1 species